UGCUUGAGGAACACCUCUGUAGAUUCCACACUGCAAGAAGGAUGUGUUGAAGAACACAGAAAGUAACCAGAUGAAAAACAAGAAGGAGAAGGGAACUCUGUGUCAACAAUGAUGACUCUGGAAGAGAAAGGUGGAUAAUAGUUGAUUACAUAGGAGGCAUCCAAAGGAAGAAUUUGUCUUCGGGAUCAUGACAGGAAUGUCAAGAAGAUAUACUAUUGAAAAUGGAAAAGGGCAGUGGAUCAAAGUGGAGAAGAUAUUUAACAAGGAUAAAUGGAUGCAGCGGAGGGAGAAAAAUUAAGACCAACUACCAAGUGCACUGUUGUGAAGUUGUAAUGCACUGUGGAAGGAAGAAUUCCCAGGGGAAUUCUGAGAAGUCACUCUUACAAGUCAGG